GUAGUGGCGGUUCAGUGGUAGAAUUCCUGCCUCCCAUAUGGGAGACCCAGGUUCAAUUCCUGGCCAAUGCA
rnacentral:tRNA from 1 species